rnacentral:rRNA from 1 species
GAGUUUGAUCCUGGCUCAGGACGAACGCUGGCGGCGUGCCUAAUACAUGCAAGUCGAGCGAGCGGAACCAACAGAUUUACUUCGGUAAUGACGUUGGGAAAGCGAGCGGCGGAUGGGUGAGUAACACGUGGGGAACCUGCCCCUAAGUCUGGGAUACCAUUUGGAAACAGGUGCUAAUACCGGAUAAUAAAGCAGAUCGCAUGAUCAGCUUUUGAAAGGCGGCGUAAGCUGUCGCUAAGGGAUGGCCCCGCGGUGCAUUAGCUAGUUGGUAAGGUAACGGCUUACCAAGGUAAUGAUGCAUAGCCGAGUUGAGAGACUGAUCGGCCACAUUGGGACUGAGACACGGCCCAAACUCCUACGGGAGGCAGCAGUAGGGAAUCUUCCACAAUGGACGAAAGUCUGAUGGAGCAACGCCGCGUGAGUGAAGAAGGGUUUCGGCUCGUAAAGCUCUGUUGGUAGUGAAGAAAGAUAGAGGUAGUAACUGGCCUUUAUUUGACGGUAAUUACUUAGAAAGUCACGGCUAACUACGUGCCAGCAGCCGCGGUAAUACGUAGGUGGCAAGCGUUGUCCGGAUCUAUUGGGCGUAAAGCGAGCGCAGGCGGAAUGAUAAGUCUGAUGUGAAAGCCCACGGCUCAACCGUGGAACUGCAUCGGAAACUGUCAUUCUUGAGUGCAGAAGAGGAGAGUGGAACUCCAUGUGUAGCGGUGAAAUGCGUAGA